rnacentral:rRNA from 1 species
UAGGGAAUCUUCGGCAAUGGGGGGAACCCUGACCGAGCAACGCCGCGUGAGUGAAGAAGGUUUUCGGAUCGUAAAGCUCUGUUGUUAAGGAAGAACGAGUGUGAGAAUGGAAAGUUCAUACUUUGACGGUACUUAACCAGAAAGGGACGGCUAACUACGUGCCAGCAGCCGCGGUAAUACGUAGGUCCCGAGCGUUGUCCGGAUUUAUUGGGCGUAAAGCGAGCGCAGGCGGUUAGAUAAGUCUGAAGUUAAAGGCAGUGGCUCAACCAUUGUAGGCUUUGGAAACUGUUUAACUUGAGUGCAGAAGGGGAGAGUGGAAUUCCAUGUGUAGCGGUGAAAUGCGUAGAUAUAUGGAGGAACACCGGUGGCGAAAGCGGCUCUCUGGUCUGUAACUGACGCUGAGGCUCGAAAGCGUGGGGAGCGAACAGG